rnacentral:rRNA from 1 species
AUUGAACGCUGGCGGCAGGCCUAACACAUGCAAGUCGAGCGAGCGGCGGACGGGUGCGUACUGUCUGGGAAACUGCCUGUUGGCUGGGGAUAACUACUGGAAACGGUAUCUAAUACCGCAUACCAUCAGAUGUGCCCAGAGGGGAUUAGCUAGUAGGUGGGGUAACGGCUCACCUAGGCGACGAUCCCUAGCUGGUCUGAGAGGUUGACCAGCCACACUGGAACUGAGACACGGUCCAGACUCCUACGGGAGGCAGCAGUGGGGAAUAUUGCACAAUGGGCGAAAGCCUGAUGCAGCAAUGCCGCGUGUGUGAAGAAGGCCUUCGGGUUGUAAAGCACUUUCAGCGGGGAGGCGGUACCCGCAGAAGAAGCACCGGCUAACUCCGUGCCAGCAGCCGCGGUAAUUC